CAGUAGCCGCGGUAAUACGUAGGUGGCAAGCGUUGUCCGGAAUUAUUGGGCGUAAAGGGCUCGCAGGCGGUUUCUUAAGUCUGAUGUGAAAGCCCCCGGCUCAACCGGGGAGGGUCAUUGGAAACUGGGAGACUUGAGUGCAGAAGAGGAGAGUGGAAUCCCACGUGUAGCGGUGAAAUGCGUAGAGAUGUGGAGGAACACCAGUGGCGAAGGCGACUCUCUGGUCUGUAACUGACGCUGAGGAGCGAAAGCGUGGGGAGCGAACAGGAUUAGAUACCCCUGUAGUCCCUGUCUCUUAUAC
rnacentral:rRNA from 1 species